rnacentral:rRNA from 1 species
GCGAACGCUGGCGGCGUGCUUAACACAUGCAAGUCGCACGGAAAGGCCCUGCUUUUGUGGGGUGCUCGAGUGGCGAACGGGUGAGUAACACGUGAGUAACCUGCCCUUGACUUUGGGAUAACUUCAGGAAACUGGGGCUAAUACCGGAUAGGAGCUCCUGCUGCAUGGUGGGGGUUGGAAAGUUUCGGCGGUUGGGGAUGGACUCGCGGCUUAUCAGCUUGUUGGUGGGGUAGUGGCUUACCAAGGCUUUGACGGGUAGCCGGCCUGAGAGGGUGAACGGCCACAUUGGGACUGAGAUACGGCCCAGACUCCUACGGGAGGCAGCAGUGGGGAAUAUUGCACAAUGGGCGGAAGCCUGAUGCAGCAACGCCGCGUGCGGGAUGACGGCCUUCGGGUUGUAAACCGCUUUCGCCUGUGACGAAGCGUGAGUGACGGUAAUGGGUAAAGAAGCACCGGCUAACUACGUG